CGGUUGUCAGAGACAACGGAGUGCAGUAAUUCCGGAAUUUAAAUGGGUAAUUCUAAUGUUGACGGCUCGAGGAAGAUGAUCUUCGGAGGGGUUUAAAGUUGGUAGCAAUUUAAUAGUUCAAGUGCUACAGAGAUAGAUAUUGAGUUAAGGCAACAACUGGACAGCGAAGGAUAAGGAAGGACAUGUGUGGGGUGUCUUAUGGUGGUUAAAUUCUAGAAUGUCAAGUGUGAGAAACAGAAGUCGGGUAGUUGCUUAAAGGAGAUGGUUUGACCAAAGUAGGAGAGUGGCAGAGCUGCAUAUGGGUUCAUUGGUGGGAUGACUAUACGCCUUGGGGGAAGUUAGAUUGAUUUGGGAUUCAUGGUGGACAGUGACUAGGUCUACGAGCUAAUUUGGAAUAUUGGCUGCUAUAUUGAGGAAGAUUGGGUGUGACAUAAGGGAGUUGCUUAAUAGGAAGCAGGAUACAACAUGGCUUUGGAUUGGAAUGUAUUGUCGCACCUUUAGUUGAUGUCCAUGAGGGGUGAACGGACUUAUAUAGCUGAUGAAUGAGCACGGACUCGGGAUGGUUUAUUGGUUUAGUGGUAAUUAUUCUCGGUGCAGCGUUGUUGGAAGGUGUCGGCACGAAAUUUUCAUAGGUGGUUUAUCUCUGGUGAGCAGGUUAACGGUUACGUGGUAUUGAUGAAGCUUCUAUGAAGAAUUUCACUGGCUACUUGGUGAGAGGUCGAACAUGUGAAUGUGGCUAGUGAUUCAGAAUGUUCAUGAAAUGGUUAACAGGAAGAUUUCGAGGAACUUGGCGGGUCGAUUGCGCGAGAUCAUGUCAAUAGGAGAUAAGGAAUCUUGGUAGGUUCCAGGGUUAUGUAAUGGUGUCUUCAAGCUAAGUGGGAGAGCCCUACAGCCUAUGAUUGGAUUGCAUGGUUGUCUAUUUGAGAGGCUUCUAGUUAUCGGUAUGUUGGUGGGCUAUUACGGCUAAGGAAAGAGAACGUCAGUGGUGAAUUGAGCAAAGGAUUUGAGGAAUGUGUGCUAUAAUUGGCCUUUAUCGAUUUAUGUUCAGGUUUUGGGAAGACUUAGAGUUUAUGCUUUGUGUAGAGGUGAGUUACAAGGAACGCGAUUCAACCAGGUGUUUCUUUGAUAGGGUGUUCAUAUGCCAGCAGGGCCUUGGAGUUUGAUCAUAAUUGGGAACAAGUCAGAGUGGAUGACUCUCAACAAUGGUUCUAGUAGGUUCAAAGUGUGGUGCUUAAGGAUUUUGAGCCAAUAGUAUGGUUAAGUAUUGAGCUUUUGCAGCGGAUUAUGAAAAAUAGCUUGGAGUGUUCUACGUUAUCUUCGGUCUGCGGUGUGACACUGGAGGAAUGGGAGAAAAUAACUUUGGAUUCAUAGAGGGAUUUUCACAAUGGGUAUACCAGUUGAAGACACGAAUAUGCGCACAAGGAGGGCAUGAGAUGGAUUGUGGAUUUUGGAGACAAUAUGGUCUCGUGAAAUGGGGUGACUCAGGAUGAGUGUGGAUUGAGUUCGUUAUAUUGAUAAAAGGGCUGUUGUUAUUUCUAAGGAAGAUCCAGAGUAAAUUAGAAGAAGUCGGAUUCGGUUAGCAAUGGUUGAAUUGGCAUGAUGAUGGUAGUGAUCAGUUCCUUCAGCGUGUUAAGUAUACCUGUGAUUUGUGGCAGUACGUGCGAGGUUUGACGGCCGCCGCAAUUGAUCUUAUUUGGAGGCAUGCGAGUAUUAGGGCCUGUUAUGGGUAGAUGGAGCCCGGAAGAAUUAUGGUGGUUUAAACCACCACUCGAGGUUUGUAUUUUCUGCGGUUAUGGGAAUUCAGUCACGUGGGGCGAUGGUUCUUCUGAAAUGAGUUAAGUGAAAAGUUUCUAUAUGAUGAAGUGUGUACCCUAUUGGUGGUUCGGGAGUUAUGAUGAAAUUAUGGUACUCUUGCGUAUCGGUAUGUUAGGUGCAGUGAGCGGCAUGGGAAUUGGAAGUUGAGGAUCAAGGUUGUAGUUGAUGUCAACAAGAAUGUCACAAGCUCGGAUGAGCAGGGAAGAAUUCAGAUGUCUAGAGUGAGCUGGUACUGCCUUUAGUGUCACCUGAGAUCGGUGUCCUGUGUAAGGGGCUUUGUGUACUUAUUUGCAACUUUUUGAUUUGCUUUACAACAUUAGUGUGGCCGGUGGUAUGGAUGUGCAAGCUUGUGACCUGGUGCGGAAGGUCGUGGGAGCGUAUCCCACGGGAAGAUUGUAUAAGUGUGUCAUGUAGUAACUUUAUUGAUUAAAGAUUGGAAACCAAGUAUAGGGAUUGUUGUACUGCCGCUAAUGUGAGAAUUUAUGCCUGGAAGUCGCUCGGUUCAUUUGGUUGUGGAAUGUGGAAGUUUGUUUCGGAUUUGACGAUUGUUCUUGUGUGCCAUGGGAAAAAGGGCUAUUGUGGAUCCUUGAAAGGUUAUUAGCCCAGUGCGGUACGAUUAGAAUCGACUUGAGGUCCGUGGAUGGAUCUAAAUGUGAAUGUGGGCUCUAUAUCAAGCCGGAUGUGUUCAUUUCAGCAUAGCAUUUUUUCGGAGGGUUCUUUGGACCUUGGAUGUUAUUUCUAUUGUCGGCCCUUCCGUGUAGUCUCUAUUGUGCCAUGUGGGUUGUGUGAAUAUUAUGUGAGCAGGAUGGCUCUCGAGAUACAAGUCAUAUAUCGCACCUUAGUGGUGCUUGAGUUUUGUAGCACGUGAUGCUACCCGUCUCCCCAGAAUUUGCAUUAUGCACUUGGCGUGCUUAUGGUUGAUAUCCGGGCAUUUCGUGUGUAUGAGCGUUAUGGCUCGAUGUGUGUCUUCUUUAGAUUAUUAUGUGUGGAUCGGGUGACACGCCACCACAGGUAUAUGGUUGGAUCGGGUGGCACGCCGCCACAGAUAUGUUGAUUGGAUCGGGUGGCACGCCGCCACGUGUAUCAUGGUUGGAUCAGGUUUCAUGAUGCAAUGGUAUCAUAUGUGGAUCGUGUUGCACGCCGCAACAAUGUGUUAUUGAGUACAGUUUCCCAAAUCUAUUAUUGCGUGUUUUGCUUCUCAUUUCCUGAGGAAGGUUCAUUACAUCCUUUCAGUUGUUUAAUUAGCUACGUGAGUUGAAUAACUCUUUCCAGAGUUCGUUUUUCCUUAUGUACCACAUUCGAGUUUAUGGAUUGUUGGCACAUGGUGGCAUCAUAUGAGAUCUUUGGUAGUGUUUUUGGUGGCUUAUUGCCAGAACGACUUGUACUGGGUGAGACGAGAUUUUUGGACCUGGGUUCAAUGCGAUCAGAUUUAUAUAAGGCAUAUUAAAGAGUAAAUAUUGUUAUUCAGUCCAGAAUGAGGUAACGGUUCUUGUCGGGAGGAUAUACUCCAUAAAUUGUAAUUCGGCAGGUGGCUAUGAGUUCUACACAUCUUCUCUGUUGUGGCAUUUCAAGAAUUGGAACAUGACUUAUAUGAGUCAUGAGGUGUGUUGUAAGCAUCAGAUGCGUGGUAUUUCAGCUAUUGUUGUCAGAAGAUAUUAUUAUGGUCAUGUAAAUGAUGCGGUGCAUGGUGUGAAUUUAAUGAGAGUAUACAAUCACGUAUUGGUACAUCGUGUAGUGAGUGAUACGGUGUUCGGAUGAUGGGAGCAGGCCUGGCAGAAAAUUUCGAAUUUUGGAUUUGGAUUUGCUCGAGCAAAUUACUCAACUGAGUGGUGGUAGUACGGAUUGGUGCACGAGCUUUUAAACAAUGAUUUCAGAAAACUCUAGAGCAGUUCUUAGCACGUUCGCGGACAAACGUAUGUUUAAGUGGGCGAGAAUGUAACGACCCGAUAGGUCGUUUUGAGCUCCAGCGCAUCGUUCGGCGGUUUGGGGCUAUGAGCAGCUUCACUUCAGGUAUUAUGACUUGUACGCGUGGUCGGAAUUUAAUUUCGGGAAGUUCAGAGUUGAUUUGGAAAGAAAAUUCUAUUUUCGGAAGCCUUAAGUUGGAGGAAUUGACUAAAGUGUGAUUUUUGAGUAAACGAUCUCGGAACCAGGAUUUGAAAGUUCCAACAGGUUUGUAUGAUGAUUUUGGACUUGGGCGUAUGCCCGGAGCGGGUUUUGGAUGACCCGAGAGCGUUUCGGCGCUUAUUAUGGAAGUUGGCAUUUUGAAAGAAUUCCCUAAAUUUGAGUUGAAGUACAUUUCAAUGCUCUCGAUGUCCGUUUGGGAUUCUGAGUAGGGAAUAGCUCCGAAUGGCGAUUCUGGUAUUGGGAGCGCCUCCGGGUGUAGAUUUGAAGGCCCGUAGGUCAUUUCGGGAUCAUUUGGCGAAAGUGGGAAAUUUGGUUAAUUUUGAGAAGUUUAACCGGGAGUGGACUUUUUGAUAUCGGGGUCGAAUUCCGAUUCCGGAAGUUGGAAUAGAUUUGUAAUGUCCAUUAUGACUUGUGUGCGAAAUUUGAGGUCAAUUUGACAUGAUUUGAUAGGUUUCGGCAUCGAUUGGAGAAGUUUGGAAUUUUAAACUUUAUUAAGCUUGAAUUGGAGGGUGAUUCAUUGUUUCGAUGUUGUUUGGCGCAAUUUGAGGCCUAGACUAAGUUCGUAAUGCAUUUUUUGACGUGUAGGUAUAUUUGGGUGAGGUCCCGAGGACCUCGGGUGGAUUCCGGAUGGUUAACGGAUCGAGCUUGGACUUGUAAGAAAAACUAAAGCAUAUGUCUUCUGGUGUAACCACACCUGUGAGGUUUUGGCCGCAGGUGCGAAGCCGCAGAAGCGGCCAAGAUUGUCGCAAAAGCAGUUCUUGCUGGGGUAGGCUGGGACCGCAGAUGUUGUCGAGUUCCGCAGAAGCGGGACCGCACCUGUGCACGUGGAGUCACAGAAGCGAAGGCGCAUAAGCGUGUAAGGGGCGCAGAUGCGG
rnacentral:lncRNA from 1 species